rnacentral:rRNA from 2 species
AGAAGCUUGCUUCUAUGACGUUAGCGGCGGACGGGUGAGUAACACGUGGGCAACCUGCCUGUAAGACUGGGAUAACUUCGGGAAACCGAAGCUAAUACCGGAUAGGAUCUUCUCCUUCAUGGGAGAUGAUUGAAAGAUGGUUUCGGCUAUCACUUACAGAUGGGCCCGCGGUGCAUUAGCUAGUUGGUGAGGUAACGGCUCACCAAGGCAACGAUGCAUAGCCGACCUGAGAGGGUGAUCGGCCACACUGGGACUGAGACACGGCCCAGACUCCUACGGGAGGCAGCAGUAGGGAAUCUUCCGCAAUGGACGAAAGUCUGACGGAGCAACGCCGCGUGAGUGAUGAAGGCUUUCGGGUCGUAAAACUCUGUUGUUAGGGAAGAACAAGUACAAGAGUAACUGCUUGUACCUUGACGGUACCUAACCAGAAAGCCACGGCUAACUACGUGCCAGCAGCCGCGGUAAUACGUAGGUGGCAAGCGUUAUCCGGAAUUAUUGGGCGUAAAGCGCGCGCAGGCGGUUUCUUAAGUCUGAUGUGAAAAGCCCACGGCUCAACCGGGAGGGUCAUUGGAAACUGGGGAACUUGAGUGCAGAAGAGAAAAGCGGAAUUCCACGUGUAGCGGUUGAAAUGCGUAGAGAUGUGGAGGAACACCAGUGGCGAAGGCGGGUUUUUUGGGUCUG